ACCGGCGCACGGGUGAGUAACACGUAUGCAACCUGCCUUCAACCGGAGGAUAACCCGUUGAAAGACGGACUAAUACUCCAUAACACAGGGGUCCCGCAUGGGGAUAUUUGUUAAAGAUUAAUCGGUUGAUGAUGGGCAUGCGUUCCAUUAGCUUGUUGGCGGGGUAACGGCCCACCAAGGCAACGAUGGAUAGGGGAACUGAGAGGUUUAUCCCCCACACUGGAACUGAGACACGGUCCAGACUCCUACGGGAGGCAGCAGUGAGGAAUAUUGGUCAAUGGGGGCAACCCUGAACCAGCCAAGUCGCGUGAAGGAUGAAGGUCUUAUGGAUUGUAAACUUCUUUUACACGGGAAUAAAGUGGGGGACGUGUCCCCCUUUGCAUGUACCGUGUGAAUAAGGAUCGGCUAACUCCGUGCCAGCAGCCGCGGUAAUACGGAGGAUCCGAGCGUUAUCCGGAUUUAUUGGGUUUAAAGGGUGCGCAGGCGGGAUGUUAAGUCGGCGGUGAAAUUUUGCAGCUCAACUGUAAAAGUGCCUUCGAUACUGGCCUCCUUGAGUGUGGAUGAAGUAGGCGGAAUUUGUGGUGUAGCGGUGAAAUGCUU
rnacentral:rRNA from 1 species